GUUUGCCAUUCUUCCUCAAAACAAUUGGUCCUAUUUAGUCUCACAAACACUUUCACAGGUAUCCCUCACUUCUAAGAGAACGUUCACAAAUCUCCCAGCCUCCUCUGCAAACGAUCUUGGGUUCUAAUGCGUAACCACUAUGAAAAGGUAGUACUACUUUUUUCUCUGCUUUUCUUGAGAAUUGUAAUCAUAGAUAAUCUUAAUUAUUUUAAAAAGGUUUUUGAUGUUUUGUAAGUACUACGAAGACAGAGUAUACAUAGGAAAUAGCAGUGAAGCAUAUUUGUAAAAAGUAGAGAAGAGCAGUGCUUGGGAACAGAGGCUGAAAGUGACCUUAAAGAUCAUCUCAUACUGAACCCAUGCCAUGGGUUGGUUGUCAUCCACCGUAUCAGUCUGCCCAGGUGUCCAUUCAACCUGGGCUUGAACACGUCCAGGGAUGGGAAGAACUUUGUAUGUUGCUAGCAUCAACUAUAUGAUUUUAACUGAACUAAGUGUCAAUGGGAACAUGUAGACAAUAUGGGAGGGAAGUUCUUUUGAAUUGUUCUCACAUGUCUUUAGUCCUCUGAAAUAUUAGAUUUCAUGACAAAAUUAUUAAGUUCUGUGUUGAAGUUUAAUUAUUUCUUAGCUAAACACCACAUCAGCUUUCUGACCCAAGCUUAUUCAUGCUCACCUGAAUUUUCUGUUUUACCUUGUAGCUUUUAGAUAAAUUGAAAAGUUCUUAUCUCCUUUCUCUGUGAAGGGUGUGUGAGAGGCGCUGAAGAGCUUUCUGAUGUAUUGGUUAGAUCUAAAGCCUCCUCCCAAGAACGCAAGUAACUGGCCCUUGGAACUGUCACUUCUCACAGAUGCCUCUCUUGUGUGCUCUUGGAUCCAGCCUUGCCAUGUGGUGCUCAAAAACUGGUGUAUUCUGGUAAGUAGUGUUUUCCCUUGCGUUUCCUAU
rnacentral:lncRNA from 1 species